AGUGAACGCUGGCGGUAGGCCUAACACAUGCAAGUCGAACGGCAGCACAGAGGAGCUUGCUCCUUGGGUGGCGAGUGGCGGACGGGUGAGGAAUACAUCGGAAUCUACUCUGUCGUGGGGGAUAACGUAGGGAAACUUACGCUAAUACCGCAUACGACCUACGGGUGAAAGCAGGGGACCUUCGGGCCUUGCGCGAUUGAAUGAGCCGAUGUCGGAUUAGCUAGUUGGCGGGGUAAAGGCCCACCAAGGCGACGAUCCGUAGCUGGUCUGAGAGGAUGAUCAGCCACACUGGAACUGAGACACGGUCCAGACUCCUACGGGAGGCAGCAGUAGGGAAUAUUGGACAAUGGGCGCAAGCCUGAUCCAGCCAUACCGCGUGGGUGAAGAAGGCCCUCGGGUUGUAAAGCCCUUUUGUUGGGAAAGAAAUCCAGCUGGCUAAUACCCGGUUGGGAUGACGGUACCCAAAGAAUAAGCACCGGCUAACUUCGUGCCAGCAGCCGCCGUAA
rnacentral:rRNA from 1 species